GUAUCCUUGUAGUUGCAUAUACCAUGGUUCAGCAAAAUAAGAUAUGAAAUUUGUAAUGAGGCAGCAUAAGAAGAAGUAUGCCCUUGGAGAUAGUAUGAAAAGAUCAGCAUACCCUCCAAUUGAUCCAAAAAAGAUGAAACCAAUGCCGCGUGCAAGCAUGUUGAUAGUAGCCCCAUAUCGUUGAGUCCAUGAUGAAAAUGAUAGUCUUUUGGUAGAGAUAAAUAAAGUAGGGACAUUCCAUUGAAAGGAGUAGAUACUGAAGAAUAGUAAAC
rnacentral:lncRNA from 1 species